UGGCGAGCGGCGGACGGGUGAGUAAUGCCUAGGAAUCUGCCUAGUAGUGGGGGAUAACGUCCGGAAACGGGCGCUAAUACCGCAUACGUCCUACGGGAGAAAGUGGGGGAUCUUCGGACCUCACGCUAUUAGAUGAGCCUAGGUCGGAUUAGCUAGUUGGUGAGGUAAUGGCUCACCAAGGCGACGAUCCGUAACUGGUCUGAGAGGAUGAUCAGUCACACUGGAACUGAGACACGGUCCAGACUCCUACGGGAGGCAGCAGUGGGGAAUAUUGGACAAUGGGCGAAAGCCUGAUCCAGCCAUGCCGCGUGUGUGAAGAAGGUCUUCGGAUUGUAAAGCACUUUAAGUUGGGAGGAAGGGCAGUUACCUAAUACGUGAUUGUUUUGACGUUACCGACAGAAUAAGCACCGGCUAACUCUGUGCCAGCAGCCGCGGUAAUACAGAGGGUGCAAGCGUUAAUCGGAAUUACUGGGCGUAAAGCGCGCGUAGGUGGUUUGUUAAGUUGGAUGUGAAAGCCCCGGGCUCAACCUGGGAACUGCAUCCAAAACUGGCAAGCUAGAGUAUGGUAGAGGGUGGAUGGAAUUUCCUGUGUAGCGGUGAAAUGCGUAGAUAUAGGAAGGAACACCAGUGGCGAAGGCGACCACCUGGACUGAUACUGACACUGAGGUGCGAAAGCGUGCGGAGCAACAGGAUUAAUACCCUGGUAGUCCACGCC
rnacentral:rRNA from 1 species